rnacentral:rRNA from 1 species
GACUGGGGUUGUCGCUGGCCUAUAAAACGGCAUGUGCACGCCCCUUUCACAAUCCACACACACCUGUGCACCUUCGCGGGGGUCUUCCUUAUCGGAAGGCUCGCGUCCCUUUACACACCCUCUGUAUGUCUUAAGAAUGUCUACUCGAUGUAAUAAAACGCAUCUAAUACAACUUUCAACAACGGAUCUCUUGGCUCUCGCAUCGAUGAAGAACGCAGCGAAAUGCGAUAAGUAAUGUGAAUUGCAGAAUUCAGUGAAUCAUCGAAUCUUUGAACGCACCUUGCGCCCUUUGGUAUUCCGAAGGGCACACCUGUUUGAGUGUCGUGAAAUUCUCAACCCUCUUCGCUUUUUUGCGAACGUAGGGAUUGGACUUGGAGGCUUUUGCCGGGGCUCUUUUGGCUCGGCUCCUCUCAAAUGCAUUAGUGCGUCUUGUUGCGACGCUCGCCUCGGUGUGAUAAUUAUCUACGCUGUGGUGGGCUUGCUUCUUGUUGAGACACGCUUUCAAACCGUCCGAAAGGACAACUUUCAUCGAACUUUGGCCUCAAAUCAGGUGGGACUACCCGCUGAACUUAAGCAUAUCAAUAAGCGGAGGAAAAGAAACUAACAAGGAUUCCCCUAGUAACUGCGAGUGAAGCGGGAAAAGCUCAAAUUUAAAAUCUGGCGGUCUUCUGGCCGUCCGAGUUGUAGUCUGGAGAAGCGUUUUCCGCGUUGGACCGUGUACAGUUUCCUGGACGGAGCGUCAUAGAGGGUGAGAAUCCCGUCUUUGACACGGACCCCAAUGCUUUGUGAUGCGCUCUCAAAGAGUCGAGUUGUUUGGGAUGCAGCUCAAAA